GCACUGCUGAGGAGUCCCAUACCAGGACGAAGCGCCCGUCCAGUGC
rnacentral:hammerhead_ribozyme from 1 species